rnacentral:rRNA from 1 species
CAGUCGCCGCGGUAAUACGUAGGUGGCAAGCGUUGUCCGGAAUUAUUGGGCGUAAAGGGCUCGCAGGCGGUUUCUUAAGUCUGAUGUGAAAGCCCCCGGCUCAACCGUGGAGGGUCAUUGGAAACUGUUAAACUUGAGUGCAGGAGAGAAAAGUGGAAUUCCUAGUGUAGCGGUGAAAUGCGUAGAGAUUAGGAGGAACACCAGUGGCGAAGGCGGCUUUUUGGCCUGUAACUGACACUGAGGUGCGAAAGCGUGGGGAGCAAACAGGAUUAGAUACCCCCGUAGUCCCUGUCUCUUAUAC